AAGUGGUUCUAGACGUUCCUAACAUCAUUAUAAAGUGAUUGUGCACCAAUUUUCUCCCACAAACCCCAUUUUCAUCAACAUAGAGACCUAAAUUUGAAUUUACCAUUUAGAAUAUGUUUUCGACCAUUUUAGCACUUCUAACAAGUCUCAAAUGACUUAUCUAAACUGUCCCAACGACUCUCUCACACCCUAGACCUUUAUUGCUCAAAAGCACAUCCUCACUUCCUCUAAACUCACUCAAAAGCAUCAAUUUAACUUAAAUUAUUGCCUAUUAAUUAGCAUAACAUGUUUCACCCCAUUAAGAAGUUUAAUUCCAACAAGACAUCAUACUCAAUAACAGUUCACAGUCAAGAAAUCCUCAGCACACAGUUCAUCAUUCAAGAGGCACUAAAACUCAACAUGCAUCAACCAAUUUCUAGUACAAUUAGUGGGACAACACAGAGUUCAUUAUAUAUACAUAUAUAUUAAGCUACAAAACAGGUAAUAAUCUAGCUCCCCUUACCUUGCAACUUCACAGCACAACUCAAAACACCGCUUCUAUAGUGCCCUUCCCAAGGAAAAACUUAAACAGUGCCCUACAACCACUGAAAUGAUGGUAGAAGAAAAAGACUAAUCACAUGCAAAAACAGAAUAUUUGCAUGAUCAAAAGCCUAAAAGCAAGGAGAAGGGAAGAACAUCUUACCAGCUGAAGAACAAGAAACUAAUCGGUUGAAGUCGAAGCUCUCAACUCCAAUAAUGCGUGGACACCACCUAAUCGACAAUGCACUGGUUUAGUAAAAAGAUUUGGUAAAGAGAAGACAGAGGAAAAAUGGAGGAAAUGAAUUCUAGAGAGAUAAACUCUUAAAAAAAUAGGUUCAACUUUUCU
rnacentral:lncRNA from 1 species